rnacentral:ncRNA from 1 species
AUCUUCAGGGCAGGGUGAAAGUCCCUACCGGUGGUAUAGCCCACGAGCCGCAAGGUAUGAUUCGGUGAAACUCCGAAGCCGACAGUACAGUCUGGAUGGAAGAAGAUU